GAUGAACGCUGGCGGCGUGCCUAAUACAUGCAAGUCGAGCGAGAAAUGUCCGAUUGAAACUUCGGUAGAUUUCGGACAUGGAAAGCGGCGGACGGGUGAGUAACGCGUAGGCAACCUGCCCCUUGCACAGGGAUAGCCACUGGAAACGGUGAUUAAUACCUGAUAAUGCAUUCCUAUCGCCUGUUAGGGAUGCCAAAGAUUUAUUGGCAAGGGAUGGGCCUGCGUCUGAUUAGCUUGUUGGUGGGGUAACGGCUCACCAAGGCGACGAUCAGUAGCCGACCUGAGAGGGUGAUCGGCCACAUUGGAACUGAGACACGGUCCAAACUCCUACGGGAGGCAGCAGUAGGGAAUCUUGCACAAUGGGCGAAAGCCUGAUGCAGCAACGCCGCGUGAGCGAUGAAGGCCCUUGGGUCGUAAAGCUCUGUCCUAUGGGAAGAAACAAAUGACGGUACCAUUGGAGGAAGCCCCCGGGCUAACUACGUGCCAG
rnacentral:rRNA from 1 species